GCAACAAGUUUUUGCUUCCAAGAAAGCCUAUAAGUUUAUGCAUUAUUUGCAUUCCCUCAAAGUUGAAUAAUUGAACUUAUUAUAUAUAGCAUCAAGAACUGUAGCACUAAAUAUUUUCUGAUUAGGUAAGGUAGCAAUAGUUGACUUUUUCAAUGGCAGCGAGAAUUUCAGGCAAACAAACUGAGGCAAGACACUGCUUGACAGCCAAAUCCAAUGAUUUUGAGGAUUCUUUAACUGAUGGGAGCAGAAGUAACCUUUUGGAAGUUAAUGUUUCAGAAGUAGAUCACCAUGAAAGACAAGUAGAGGAAGCUCAGCAGAAAGGAUUGUCCCUCACUGAUGGAGAUAAGGU